UAAAAUAGGUUUAUAAGGUGUAGGCUUAAUAAGUUGUUUUAUAUUUUAAUUUAUUAAGGAUAAGCUUAAUAAAAAUAGGAAAGAUGUAUAAACCAAAUAAAUUAUGUAGGCUUGAAAUUGGCUAUCAUAAUAAAACUUGUUAUAAAAUAAUUUGUAAAAUUGGAAAAAUUUUAGUACUUAUUUUCCUAGUUUUAUAGGGGUAAUAGAAGAAAUUGAUAAAUCUAAUUUAUGUAUGCUAAGAUGAGUAUUUUAAAGUUUUUAAGGAGAUAAAAUAAUUAAAAAAUAUCUAUAAUAAUGGUUUUUUAAAAGAUAAAAUAAGAAAAAGGAACUCGGCAAAUAUUAGCUUCGCCUGUUUAUCAAAAACAUGGCUCUUUGUUAGUUUAAUAUAGAGAGUUGAACCUGCCCAGUGAAAAUUUUUAACGGCCGCGGUACCCUGACCGUGCAAAGGUAGCAUAAUCAUUUGCCUUAUAAUUGAAGGCUUGUAUGAAUGGUUUGACGAGAGCAUUGCUGUCUCUUUCUUAAUAAAUAGAAUUUGACUUUUAGGUGAAGAGGCCUAAAUAUAAUUGAAAGACAAGAAGACCCUAUCGAGCUUAAAAACUAAGUUGGAAAUAAUUAUAAGUUUAGAUUUACUGCUAAUUCAUUUUUUAAUUGGGGCGAUUAAGGAACAGCAGAAGCUUCCUUUUCUGUUUUACUUAUAAGUAUUGAUCCAGCUAAAGCUGAUUGAAAGAAUUAGUUACCGUAGGGAUAACAGCAUAAUCUCUCUUGAGAGACCUAAUCGAAAGAGGGGGUUGUGACCUCGAUGUUGGACUAGAAUAUCCUAAAGGCGCAGAGGU
rnacentral:rRNA from 1 species